UGUUGAUCUGAAAGCAUGUAUUACACGACUUCCGGAAGAGGGAUUUGGCGCAAAUAUUACCACUUGGCCUUCACGCCUGCAGUAUCCUCCAGAUAGACUCCAGAGCAUACAAGUAGAUUCUUUUCUGUCUAGGAAAGAGCUUUUCAAUGCAGAAUCAAAAUUCUGGAAUGAAAUAAUUGGGAGCUAUGUCCGUGCUUGGCAUUGGAAGAAGUUAAAACUUAGAAAUGUGAUGGAUAUGAGAGCUGGUUUUGGAGGAUUUGCAGCAGCAAUGAUUGAAAAUCAACUGGAUUGCUGGGUUCUGAAUGUUGUCCCUGUUAGUGGUAAAAAUACCUUACCUGUCAUUUUUGACCGUGGACUACUUGGAGUCAUGCAUGACUGGUGUGAACCAUUUGAUACUUACCCAAGAACCUACGACUUAUUGCACGCAAAUGGUCUCUUCUCCAUCGAACAAAAAAGAUGCAACAUGUCCACAAUCAUGCUUGAAAUGGACCGGAUAUUGAGGCCAGGUGGACGAGCAUACAUCCGUGAUUCUGUUGCUAUCAUGGAUGAACUACAAGAUAUUGGGAAAGCCAUGGGUUGGCGUGUAACUGUGAGAGACACAUCUGAGGGUCCUCAUGCUAGUUACAAGAUAUUGACAGGUGACAAACACCUUUUACGAGCCUAACAGAUGAUAAGAAAGGAGAAACCAACAUUCAAAUAACUCCCCCACGGAUACAUCAAAACUCAUGUUUCUACGGUAAGUGGACCUGAAAGAUUGAAUGCUUGCUUAACAUGGCAGAAAUAUCCAGGGCUGUUGUUUAAAACCAUGUAGCCAUAUAAAAUGUACAGCAGAAGAUGGUAUAGAGCUUCACACGAUCGAAGAUAUAUGGUAUAGCUCAGUGUUGUAUUUGUUUCCAUUGAUGGUUCUGUGACUAUGAGGGUUCUUUUAGUCAUAAGUUUUGCUGUUUACUUGAGCUGAGAAAUCUAAACAAUAACAGAAAAAGAAACUAUGCAACAACAUAUAUUAAUAUAUUUAAGUAGGAGUUGUG
rnacentral:misc_RNA from 1 species